CCUACGGGAGGCAGCAGUGGGGAAUCUUGCACAAUGGGUGAAACCCUGCUGCAGCGACGCCGCGUGAGUGAAGAAGUAAUUCGUUAUGUAAAGCUCUGUCAGCAGGGAAGAAAAUGCCGGUACCUGAGUAAGACGCCCCGGCUAACUACGUGCCAGCAGCCGCGGUCAUACGUAGGGGCCACGCGUUAUCCGGAUGUACUGGGUGUAAAGGGAGCGUAGACGGCAGUGCAAGUCUGGAGUGAAAGGCGGGGGCUCAACCCCCGGACUGCACUGGAAACUGGACGGCUGGAGUGCAGGAGAGGUAAGUGGAAUUCCAAGUGUAGCGGUGAAAUGCGUAGAUAUUAGGAGGAACACCAGUGGCGAAGGCGGCUUACUGGACUGUAACUGACGUUGAGGCUCGAAAGCGUGGGGAGCAAACAGGAUUAGAUACCCUGGUAGUC
rnacentral:rRNA from 1 species